UAGGUCUAAUACCGGAUACGACCACCGGGGGCAUCUCCGGUGGUGGAAAGUUCCGGCGGUACAGGAUGGACCCGCGGCCUAUCAGCUUGUUGGUGGGGUAAUGGCCUACCAAGGCGACGACGGGUAGCCGGCCUGAGAGGGUGACCGGCCACACUGGGACUGAGACACGGCCCAGACUCCUACGGGAGGCAGCAGUGGGGAAUAUUGCACAAUGGGCGAAAGCCUGAUGCAGCGACGCCGCGUGAGGGAUGACGGCCUUCGGGUUGUAAACCUCUUUCAGCGGGGACGAAGGGCAACUGACGGUACCCGCAGAAGAAGCACCGGCUAACUACGUGCCAGCAGCCGCGGUAAUACGUAGGGUGCGAGCGUUGUCCGGAAUUAUUGGGCGUAAAGAGCUCGUAGGCGGUUUGUUGCGUCGGCUGUGAAAACUUCACGCUUAACGUGGAGCCUGCAGUCGAUACGGGCAGACUUGAGUUCGGCAGGGGAGACUGGAAUUCCUGGUGUAGCGGUGAAAUGCGCAGAUAUCAGGAGGAACACCGGUGGC
rnacentral:rRNA from 1 species